UACAGAGGUGGCGAGCGUUGUUCGGAUUUACUGGGCGUAAAGGGCGCGUAGGCGGUACAGUAUGUCGGGUGUGAAAUCUCCAGGCUCAACCUGGAAAGUGCGCCCGAAACUGCUGAACUUGAGUGCGGGAGGGGAGAUCGGAAUACAUGGUGUAGCGGUGAAAUGCGUUGAUAUCAUGUAGAACACCGGUGGCGAAGGCGGAUCUCUGGAACGCAACUGACGCUGAGGCGCGAAAGUCGGGGGAGCAAACAGG
rnacentral:rRNA from 1 species